UACGUAGGGAGCAAGCGUUGUCCGGAAUCAUUGGGCGUAAAGCGCACGUAGGCGGCCCUGUAAGUCCGUUGUGAAAGUCAAAGGCUCAACCUUUGAAAGCCGAUGGAUACUGCAGGGCUAGAGUCCGGAAGAGGCGAGUGGAAUUCCUGGUGUAGCGGUGGAAUGCGCAGAUAUCAGGAGGAACACCAAUAGCGAAGGCGGCUCGCUGGGACGGUACUGACGCUAAGGUGCGAAAGCGUGGGGAGCGAACAGG
rnacentral:rRNA from 1 species